CAUAGUAAAACCUAAAAGGGCAUAUUAAUAUAAGAAAUAACACAAUAUUUCAAUACAAAAAUAUAUCAAAGUGUACUAUAGUUUUACAAACUAAAUUGAAAUGUCAUUCACUUCAACCAUUACGAUUACAAGAAACUUCAAAUCUUGCUUGAACUUCAAAUCACUACAAAAACUUGCUUAAACUUCAAAUCACUAGCAUCCAAACUCAAGAUAGGAUCUGCAACAGUUCAUGAAACUCAGCGGAUUUCACUACGAUAUCACCUGGCUGCAAAGAGAAAUACACAAUAAGCGACUUCAUCCAAACUCAAAACAUGGAUGAAUAUAGCAUACUUGAUGAAUUUAGUACUACCAGCCAGUUAAGUUAUAUGGUGGAAUAAGACAUGUUAGUUGACAAGAAUAUAUUACAACAAUAACAACAUAAUACACAGUGAAAUUUCACAAGCGGGUUUGGGAAAGGUAGAAUAUACGCACAAGUAAUGACUUAUCCCCAGUUACGCUUGUCAGGGAGCAAAAGGAAAACAAUUACUAUUGUUUAUGUCCAGCCAAAUAAUACAACUUACAGAGUUAAGAGCCUGCUCAAGAAAUACAUCAGUAGCUACCUUUUUGUGUAACUCAAACCAAUUGGGUCUGCGAUGGCCACAAGCCACUACUCCCCUGUACUAAUUUUACUUUUUAAUGAAAUGCUUCAUAUUUCCUUACCAAAAAAAAAGUAACAACAAAUGGGUCCUAGUUAGAUAAAGUCUAAAGAUUAAUUCAUUGGGAAAAGAAAUUAAUUAGUAAUAUCUAUAUGGCUAGAUCUCACAUUAGUUGUACACUGAAAUGUACCUCUAAUCCUUAAUUCUUUGAAGUAUCAAAGUUCCAGAGAAAAAGAUUUUACUUACCAAUGCCAACCACCUUGCUAUGCCUAUAUAACAUAAUUAUAGGUGCAGUAAGUUCUCAAGACAAUGUAAAAUAUUCAUUAAACAACACCAACAACUAUAUAAAAGCUAUAACUUGAAAUGUAAAAGUCCAACUAGUGAAUUAGAAAAUACCAGUUACUAUUCAGAUGAUCAAUUAUAAUUUUUUGAAAAGGCACAAUUACUAAAAAUAAUGUGACCUCUCAAAACUGAACAUGAGUCUAAUGAUGCUUAGGAUUGGGUCUGUUGGGAGAAAUUGAAUUUUGCUUGCAAAAAGAGUCCACUGGCCAUCCAAGAUGUAAUCUUGGCAAUAAUCUUGUCCACUAAGGGUUUAAUUGGACUAUUGUAAGCCUUUUAGGUGUCGUUUAAUACAAAGAUUAAUAAUGUAGGGAUUAGUAAUGCAAGGUUCCUUAGUAAAAUUGUUUGGCACACCUAGAUAUUUGAAACAGAGUUCUCCAACCUCAUAUCCAAGCAUAGUCAAGAUGGUUUCCUUAGUAAAUUUGUUAAUACCUUCAAAACAUACCUGACUUUUCAAAAUGAUGGUCUUCAAAUCAGAAGCAUCAGAAAACAUAUUGAAUUUACCCCUCGAUAGUUGUAGUUGUAUAGAUCUGACAUCUCAUCUAGUAAAUAUAGUAAGUCAACAGCAACAAAGUACUGAUUCAAAACUGAUGUCAACAUCUAGAUGGAAAAAAAUGUUUCAUCAAACUUUCUUAGUUGUAAAUCAGCACAACUACAAAGAAAAAAGACAUUCUUGCAACUCUUCCAAAUCUGUUUGGGUUAAAGGAAUUUUGCAUUUAACUAUCAUUCCAUCUUCACUAACUAUCUAAAGGACAAAAUCAAAUAAAAAAAUACAAUAAACUCACAAGAUUUGUAGAGCGUCGCAGAACUUGAGCGAGUUGUGCAUGACUGCUUAUAAGAGCUUUUAUCUUCUUCAACAAUGCAGCCACAAAUAUUGACACUAUAGCACGAAAAAAUAGUGCAAACUGUCUUAAAGAAAGAUCUCAUCAGAAAAAUGAGAACCAAAUUUAAAAAGAAUAGCUGAAAAGUAGAUGAAACUUACGGAAAUAGCUGGGAAUAUAGACGAAAUCAGGUUCAGUAAUGUGGGAGGAGAUAGUGGUGGGAGUGACGUCUUUGGGAUCGGUGGCAAAAGGGAUGGUUGGGUUUGGGGACAAUUCCAGUUGUUGGGGAUGAUCGUAACAUGUAUACUCAAUAUACUCGAUAUGGUUAGUCAAUCGAUAAAGUGAAACAACCUUAUGGUGCUACUUCUAAUCCUACACAGGCUGAUGACGCGACAAGAAAGAACAGUUCAUCAUCAAACAAGUUGAAAACACCACAUUUCUCCAAUAUCACCACCUUAUAACAUAGAAACAAAUAUCAUAUCUCUCAAAUUUACCAGAUUCACUUACAACUAACAAAAAUCAAUUAAGAAGUUAAUCUAUCCAACCAAAAAAUCAAUUACUAGCAAGUUAUUCUCUAUGUAAACCUUAUUUAAUUAGAUUAUCCAUAUUGAAACCCUAAAGAAUCGAAGUUUAGGGGAAAUCCAAAAAGUACAAUAGUUAUAAACCUUAGAAAGAGCUGAAGCUUCUCCAUGGUGCAGGACGUAGGGCAACGAGCCUAUUGGAGCAUUCUUUUACUCCAAAAUCGGCGAAGAUAUUGCAGAUUUUCUGAAACUAAAAUAGAUUCAAAAUACAAAUCUCAAAACUUUUUACAAACAAUUUGAAGUUGAGAAAAAAAAAAUCAGUUGAUUUAUAGAUUGAAAAUGCAUGAAAAUGAGGAAAAGAGAACUCAUUUUUGAAGCUUUCGAUGUCUAAAUUAAGGAGCAAUUGUUAAAUAGAGAGAAAUUGGGAAGUAAGAGAGGAGAAGAGAAGUAUGAACCAACGAUACCGCCAAUCGCCACCGCCGCCUCCAUCUUUUCCUACUCCGACCACUGUUAUUGUGGAUGAAGACAGUGAUAGCUCCGCCACCAUGGAUUCGCCACCGUGCCGCCUCCAUCACUUCCUACUCCAACCCUAAUUAUCAUAUGAAAAUUGAUCAGUUCGGGAUCGCAGAAAAUAGAAUGAAACUUUUUUUUAUUUGGGGAUUAAAUGAGCAACGAUAUAAAAUUUUAUUUUUUAGGAUAGCGGCGGGUAAUAACCCCACAAAUUCUACUAAAAUUAUAGGGGUUAAUCAAACCUCCGUAAUUUGAUGUAAUUUGUGGGGGUUGAGUUAACCUCCAUUAUAAAACCUCUAGGAUUUAAGUGUUUUUUUGUAGUGGAU
rnacentral:lncRNA from 1 species